rnacentral:lncRNA from 1 species
UCGGAUUGCAUUCUGCACGUGGUGUAACCGGUGACAGGUCGAUGGCUGUACCGGUACACAUUUUGUACCGGUACACCUUUGAUGGUCGUACCGGUACACUUGUGGCGAAUUUCAAACCCGAGCCUCGGGUUUGCAUUUUCGUAGGAUGUGUACCGGUACACUUUCCCGUGUACCGGUACACUUUGACAGAAUCUGAGCAGUUUGAACUGCAGGGGGUUUUUCGCAAUUGUGGACUUCUAUAUUACCACCCACGCCCCCUUGGGCCUUCCCUGAGCUGAGGAGGGUGGAGAUCAAGGUAAGAGAGCCCUCCAUCCCUUUCCUUCCAUUUUAUUUGGUGUUUAAGGCUUUUAUGCCUCAUUUUUGCUACUUUUGCAUCUUGGAGGCUUUUUCCACCAUUGGAGAGGACUUGGAGCUUUGUUAGAGGCUUGUUGGAGGAAAGAUCUUCCACCCCAUUUGGUUUGGAGCCCAAGUUGAGACUCCUAGAGAGGUUAGCAACAUGAUUUGAGCUUUUGAUCCAUAUUUUGCUAAGUUUUUGAGAUGAAACCCUAGAUUUGAUACUUAGGGCUUAUUUUUGGGCAUUUUCUAUCUAGGGCUUUUGGACCCAAAUUAGUUGGUUUAGAACCUUCCUUGGGCUUGGAUUGGAAGGAUUCUAGCUCCCCUUUGGAGCUUAGGAGAGGAUUUUUACUCUUGAGGUGAGUUUUGGCCCUUUUUGAUUCUCGGUUAAUGUUUGAUAUUAUAAGAUGAUCGUAAUGCCC